GCCUCGGUGAUGAAAUGGUAGACUUGGUAGAUUCAAAAUCUUCUGUCGAAAGGCGUGCCGGUUCGAGUCCGGCCCGAGGCACCA
rnacentral:tRNA from 1 species